UCGACUCGGGUUCCCACGGACCGU
rnacentral:rRNA from 1 species